UAAUACUUUUCGUUGCAUAACGAGAAGUUGAAAGGCGGCUUUUAGCUGUCACUUACAGAUGGGCCCGCGGCGCAUUAGCUAGUUGGUAAGGUAACGGCUUACCAAGGCGACGAUGCGUAGCCGACCUGAGAGGGUGAUCGGCCACACUGGGACUGAGACACGGCCCAGACUCCUACGGGAGGCAGCAGUAGGGAAUCUUCCGCAAUGGACGAAAGUCUGACGGAGCAACGCCGCGUGAGUGAUGAAGGUUUUCGGAUCGUAAAACUCUGUUGUCAGGGAAGAACAAGUGCCGUUCGAAUAGGGCGGCACCUUGACGGUACCUGACCAGAAAGCCCCGGCUAACUACGUGCCAGCAGCCGCGGUAAUACGUAGGGGGCAAGCGUUGUCCGGAAUUAUUGGGCGUAAAGCGCGCGCAGGCGGUCCUUUAAGUCUGAUGUGAAAGCCCACGGCUUAACCGUGGAGGG
rnacentral:rRNA from 1 species